GCUGCCACUCCACCUGCUGCCACUCCACCUGCUGCCACUCCACCUGCUGCCACUCCACCUGCUGCCACUCAGAGCAGGCCCCUGACGGCUGCCGGCGUUAACGCUCUGCUGGCACGUGGGAAGCAUUUGUCUCCCUCACAGUUGGCACGAAAAAUUGUUUCUCCAGCCAAACCCUCUCCAGUGCCACGUGUCCCCUCUCCGUCUACAUCCGCUGCCCGCAGACAGCUCUUUAACUGUGACGCUGUUGCUGCUGCUGGGGAUUUUUUUAAGGAGCAAGACGACCAGGAGACGGUGACUGUGGCCUCGCAAGCUGAGGAAAAACUUCCUCAAGGUAUGUGAAUCACAAACGUUUCACAAAGUAAUGUGUGUUUAUAAGUAUUUUUAAAUGACCCAACAUGUUCUUUUAUUUUAUUGCACAGAGAAUUAGCUCUGAUCCCAGUGUCAGUCUACACUCACUCUUCAAAGCAAAAAGGUGGCUGCACAAUGUUGGAGUUAGAGGAGCUCCUAGUGUUGCUGUUGCUUUGUUUCACACUUGGCUCAUCCCAGCUCACUUUUCUUCUUGUAUCUGACCUAAUGGUGCAUGGGUGAAAAUCAGAAUGCUUUUCACUGACUCCUUCCAUAACUUCACCCUCUCCUCAUCAUAUUGUCUCUCUCCUACCCAUCAUGCUUUGCACUAAACGUUGUAGCUUUGUAGCUGUCUGGUAGUGCUGAAAAAGAAAGGCUGUGACAGUCUGUGCUUAACAACAAACUAAUUGGAACUUUUUCCA